CCUAUCAACUUUCGAUGGUAGGAUAGUGGCCUACCAUGGUUUCAACGGGUAACGGGGAAUAAGGGUUCGAUUCCGGAGAGGGAGCCUGAGAAACGGCUACCACAUCCAAGGAAGGCAGCAGGCGCGCAAAUUACCCAAU
rnacentral:rRNA from 1 species